ensembl:lncRNA novel transcript, antisense to GZMK
CUGGAAUGCAGUGGCAAGAUCUCGGCUCACUUCAGCCUCAACCUCCUGGGCUCAGAGGACUUGAAUUUGUCUAAUGUCUUGCCUGGGAAAAGCAGCUCAGUUCUCUCUGAAAAGGAAAACCCAAGACAGAAAGCGUGGAUGUGGAAGAAG